rnacentral:lncRNA from 1 species
AGCUCAAUCACUUCUCCAGAAAGACUUACUGAGUCCUCUGCACUGAACAGGUGUCCUAUGCUCCAGGAGAGCCCUGGGCUGGCUCCUAGUGCAGCCGUUAUGACCCUGGAAUGCACCAUCUUUCACAUCACUGCCUGGCCUUCUAGAAUCUCAGCUUCUUAAAUCAAGAAAUUGUGUCUUGUUCAUGUCUGAAUUCCCCAAGUGAACACAACUCUUUGGCAGUUGCACUGGGUACUGGCUGAGUUCUGGAAAACAGGAAUGUGAGCAGAGUGCUGCAGAUCUCCUUGUCAGGAGCACCUAAGAACUGGCAUGACUCUACACCCUCUCUCCUUCUGCAAUGACCUCGUGUCAAGAUGGCAGACCUGCAGAGAUGAAUGUGCCUGGAUACCUGAGUCACCAGGUGGAGGAAACUCCCAUUGACAUGCAUCACACUCCACAUAUGAAACCCUUCUUUUUCUGCACUGUCACUGGGGUUAGGGAUUAUUACUCACUGCAACUUAGCCUAGCAUUAAGUUGCUUGACUAAUACAAGUUUCAAUAAAUGUCGCUUCAUUUCCCAUGGCU